rnacentral:tRNA from 1 species
UCCCUGGUGGCUCAGACGGUAAAGUGUCUGUCUACAAUACAGGUGACCCAAGUUCGAUCCCUGGGUUGGGAA